rnacentral:lncRNA from 1 species
UUUUUUAAGAUUUAUUUAUUCAUGAGAAACACAGAGGCAGAGACAUAGGCAGAAGGAGAAGCAGGUUCCCCACAAGGAGCCUGAUUCAGAACUCGAUUCCAGGACCCGGGAUCAUGACCCAAGCCAAAGGCAGACACUCAACCACUGAGCCACCCAGGCAUCCCUCAACACUUCUACUUUAAUGGGAGUAGUAAACUUUAUAUAGUUCUUCACAUUAAAAUUUUUCUAUGGAAAAAUUAAUGACAUUAAUGUGAUGAUAAAGAAUAGGAAGAAAAUAACAUCAAAAAGAUAUGUAAUCUCCAAAAAGUCUAUUUUGUGGGAAAAAAAUACUAAGAAUUGAAUAAAUCGGGGGAACCUCUGUGUAGCUCUGUCAGUUAAGUGCCCAGCUCUUAAUUUCAGCACAGGUCAUGACCUUAGGAUGCUGGGAUCCCAAGUCAGGAUCCACACUCAGUGAGGAGUGUGCUUGUGGUUUCUUUCUCUCCCUCUGCCCUUCCCCCUACCCCUUGCAUGUGCUCACUCUAAAAUAAGUAAAUAGGGAUGCUUGGUGGCUCAAUGGUUGAGCAUCUGUCUUUGGCUCAGGGCAUGAUCCCGGGGUCUUGGGAUUAAGUCCCACAUCAAGUCCCAGGGAGUCUGCUUCUCCCUCUGCCUAUGUCUCUGCCUCUCUCCCUGUGUCUCUCUUGUAAAUAAAUAAAUACAAUCUCAAAAAAAUAAAUCUUCAAAAAAUUGAAUAAAUGGGAUACACAUCACCUUAGAGACAUUAACAAAAAUCUCUCCUACACCUGCCAGAACCAUGAGUACAUGCUCUGAGAGACACACAGAGCAGAGGAGGUCCAAUAGUCUUACAGUUUAUAAUGCAUAAUCUGGGCACCUUAUCAAGAAUAUAAUACAAAAAGUUCUAUGUGGGUGAUAGUACUGGGCCAGCUGGAGAAAGUAAAUGCAAACCUCUCUGGACAAACACAUCCUCAAUUCCUGAUGUGAAGUUUCCACAAAUAAAACCCUAGCCAACAUUACAAAACACAAAAAGAAGCAAUCUGUCAUGACCGUUGGAUGGAGUCAGCAGCCAAACAGACAGAAACAGAUCUCAAGAACUUCAGAAAAAAACGAUCACACAGAAACCUUAAAAUAAGUACUUGAAAUUGUUUUGAAAUGUAAAAGAAGGAAUAAAAAAUGAUUUAAAUGAACUUCCAAGAAAUACCAGGCAGAUGUGAAGAGAAAGAAAAUAGAACUGAAAGAAUUAUUCAAAGGGAAGAGAAAUGUAGAGUUGGAAAGCAUAAAAGAUAUUAAGAGACAGAGAGGGCAAAAUGAAAAUUUCUGCAACUUUCCUAAUGGAACAAAUACAGAAUAUAUAACAGGAACAGUAUUUAAAGUGAUGAUAUCAAGAGAAUAUUCCAGAAUUGAAGAAUCAAAUUCAGGAAUCACAAUGAAUCCCAAGCAGAAUAAAUGAACAUACGUACACCUGGAUGACGAUUACUCAAUAAAGAUAAAAGAAAACUUUUAGAAAGUGUAAAACAGAAUUUAUUAUUGGCACAGCCCCACUGGAAAUUGGAGAAAUGAGUGAGAGACGCCUCGAUGGCUCAGCGGUUGAGCAUCUGCCUUUGGCUCAGGGCGGAAUCCCCGGGUCCGGGAUCAAGUCCCACAUCGAGUUCCUGGUGGGGAGCCUGCUUCUCCCUCUGCCUGUGUCUCUGCCUUUCUCUCUGUGUGUGUCUCUCAUGAAUAAAUAAAUCAAAUCUUAAAAAAAGGGUGGGGGGCAGCCCUGGUUGCUCAGCGGUUUAGCGCCGCCUUCAGCCCAGGGCCUGAUCCUGGAGACCCAGUUCGAGUCCAACGUCGGGCUCCCUGCAUGGAGCCUACUUCUCCCUCUGCCUGUGCCUCUGCCUCUCUCUCUCCCUCUCUGUGUCUCUCAUGAAUAAAUAAAUCAAAUCUUUUAAAAAAAAAAAGGAAUGAUUGAAUGAAGUGCAAGAAGAAAUGGUAAGCAAAGAAAUUAAUAUGUGGGCAAUUCUAAAGUGUUAACCAGAUACAAGGAUAAUACAAUGAUUAUUUGGGGGGGGUUACAAUAAAAAGGUAUAACUAAAAUAUUAUACAAUAACUGGCAAAAUGGGAGGAAUCAAAGUUUUAUUAAACCUUUGCCUCAGAUGAAGGUAAAGAUGAUUAAUCUUAGAACUAUCCAAUUCUUGCAUGCAUGAAUUACCUUAAAACUUUGAAUGUAAACACCAAAAAAAAAGCCUAGAAAUAAGCCUGCUAUUUCCUAAUCAGUAGAAGUAAGAAACUGAAUAAAAACUCAAUCAACCCAAUUAAGGGGUAGAAAAAAGAAAGAUUAGGAGAAUUUCUCUUUCCAUCCAAGCUAAAGUACCAGGCACUGAUUUUACCUUCCAGACUGAAAGACUUAUACAAGGACUUGAAAAAACAUUGUUUCAUUUGUUUACUUGUCUAUCAAGCAGUGAAAAUCAGUGGUCUCUGAGAAGUGGGAACACAAGUGAUAUGAAUCUUACUCUUGCCCCAGCUUAUUGCCUUGAGAGACUUUCCAGGCCAUCACACAGGGAGGUUGGAGCUCCAGUAGCACCCAGCAGACCCCCUGAUUUGAGGAGGUGGAGAUGAGAGUCUGAGCAGACUGAGGGAGCUAAAGUUCACAAGACCAAGUCCCACAGAAGUGAGAGUGGUUUUGAGGGAGAACUCUGGAGAUGAAAAAAGGGUGCCCCUGGAUUUUCAGCAAAAUACUAAUCAAUGCAUGUGUGUGAGGAAACUCGGCAAGGCUAGGAAAAGGAUCAUCCAAAAAUGAUUAGAGGAAAUGGUACCAGGUGCUCAUAAAGAACUAGAAAUAGUUUCUGUAUCCAGCAGCCAGACUGGAAAUGGCAAAAUUAAUGAUGUGUUUCACAGACUUUUUUUGGAAGGAUCUUUCAUCAUUAGUGGGGAAUCAUUAGCUCUAGACUAAGCACUGCUCUGUUCCCACUAACGGAUUUUAAAAGCAAGACUUAGCUAAAACAACACUGAAAAAGAAAGCUAAAGGGCUGACACUGCCUGAUUUCAAGACUUACAAAGUUAUAGUACUCAAGACAAUGUGGUAUUGUCAUCAAAAUAGACAAAUCAAUGGAACAGAAUAGAGACCAGAAGUAGUGCACAUUUUUUACAAAGGUGCACAGGCAGUUCAUUGGAGAGAAGAUCAUCUUUCCAACAAAUGAUGCUGGGACAAUUUUAUAUCCAUAUCCAAGAAAUGAAAUCCAAUCCAUGCCGUGCAUCCAUCAAGAUGGAUCAUAAACCCAAAUGUAAAAUCUAAAACCAUAAAAUUUCUUUCAGAAAAGUGAGAAAAUCUUUGUAACCUUGUGUUAGGCAAUAAUUUCUUACAUAUGAUCCCAAAAUCAUGGUCCAUAAAAGAAGUUGAAAAUUUAAAUUUCAUAGAAAUUAUAAACUUAUGUUCUUGGAAAUACAUUGUUAAGAUAAUCACAGUCUAAAAGAAAUUAUUUGUAAGUCUUAUAUCUACUAAAAGAACCCAUGUCUCAGGCUCCCAUAGGGAGUCUACUUCUCCCUCUGCCUAUGUCUCUGCCUCUCUCUGUAUCUCUCAUGAAUAAAUAAAAUCUUUCAAAAAAUAAAAGAACCCAUGUCCAUAAAUAUAGAGCUCUGAAUAUGUCAAGAAAACAAUCAAAUUUAGAAAAUGGGCAAAAGAUUUGAAUAGGCACCUCUCCAAAGAAAAUAUAUGAAUAGUAAGCAAAUACAGGAAAAGAUACUUAAUAUUACUAGACAUUAGUGAAAUUAAAAUAAAAUUCCAUAAGAUACUAUUGCCCCCUACUAAAAUGGUUAAAAUUUAAAAAGAUGGACCACACCAAGUAUUAGGAUAUGGAAGAACUAGAACUCUCCCAUGUUGCUGGCUGGAACUUGCCAGUCACUUAAAAAGUUAAACCUACAACCACCAUAUGAUCCAGCUCUACUCCUGGGUGUUUAAACAAGAGGAAUGAAUGCAUAUAUUUAUACAAAGACUUGUAAGCAAAUGCUCUUGGUUUUAUUUGUAAUAGCCAAAAACUGAGACAACCAAAAUGGCCAUCAAUGGGUAAAAAGAUUAACAAAUUGUGGUAUAUCUGCACAAAAGAAUACUGCUCAGCAGUUAAAAACAAUGAACUAUCGAAACACACAACAUAAAGGAAUAUCAAAAUAAUUACACUGAAUGAAAGAAAUGGGACAAAAAAGAUUGUAUGUAGUAUGAUUCCAGUUACAUAAAAUUCUAAAAAAAUGCAAACUUAACUAUUGUGACAGAAAGCAGGUCAGUAGUAGCAUGGGGAGAGGAAGGAGGGGCAUGAAAGAGGGAUUACAAAAGGGAAUGAGAAAUCUUUUGAAGGUGAUGGAUUAUGUUUAUUAUCUUCAUUGUGGUGAUAGUUUCAUGGAUGUAUACAUAUGUCUAAAUUUGUCAAACUGUGUAUUUAUGUGCAGUUUCUUGUAUGCCAAUUAUACCUAAAGAAAGCAAAAUUUUAAAAGCAAGAAAUAGAAAACACAAAGUAAAAGAGUACAAAGGUGUGCUUUUUUGGCUUUCCAGAUAUGUGCCAGCAUGCUCUCCCUUGUGCUCACAUGCUCUCCCUUGUGCUCACAUGCUCUCCCUUGUGCAUGCACGCUCUCCGCUCUCUUUUAACAGAUAGAAAAUAGAUAGGCAGGUAGGUAGGUAGGUAGGCAUAUCCAUCCUUUUAUACCUUGCUCUGUGUCCUGAGAGAUUGAUUUCUCUGGGCAAAAUCCAGAGACUUCCUUGUUCUCUGGGUUCUGUCGGGGUCUAGCCAAUGGGGAGGAAUAGCAGAAAAAAAAGGAAAGUAGAAGAAUAAGAUCAUGUACUGAUCUCCCUAGCUUCCUCACUGCACGGUCCAUAUCAGGCUGGCUGAAUUCCUCAACCAGAGGUUUCAGUUCUUGUAAGGUCAGUCUACACAUAGCCCUCUCGGUCUCUAGGUCCCCAUAACCAGUUCUUCCUCUCAUUCCUUCGGUCUUUACAGCAGAAAUGGAGCCUGUCAUUACGAGAGCUGGAGGACUUUUCUUUUUGGUUUCCCUAUACCCUGACUACAACUUUGUCUGUGGUCUUUUAUUAAACUUCCCUUAACCUACUAUGGUGCCAUGUGCUUCCUGCUAGGGUUUUAACUUCUAAAAUCUAGCUAAACAUAUUCAGAAAUCAUAUGAAACUCUCCAGGUAAAAGACUAAUCUAUGGAUUUUGUUAAAAAACAAUUGAAAACUCUAUGCUCUUCACGAGUGGUAUGUUUAAAACACAAAGGCCAAGAAAUGUUAUGAAUACAAAGAUGAAAAAAUCAUACCAUGCAAAUACUAGCCAAAGUAAAGUAAGUGUGAAUAUAUCUAUAAUAUAUAAAGCAUAAUCAGGAAUAAAGAAGAUGACCAAAUAAUGAUAAAAAGAAAAAUUCACCAGGAAGGUAGCACUGUUCAAAACAUGUACUCAUUUAAUAACAUCAAAUUAUAUAAAGAAUAAAUGGAUC